GGGUCAGUAGGUUGGUCGUGCCACCGGUACGUACUGGUCUCACUGAUUCCUCCUUCCUGAAGAACCGUAAUGCCAUUAAUUGGGUGUUGCGGGGAAACAGGACUGUUACUUUGAAAAAAUUAGAGUGUUUAAAGCAAGCUAACGCUUGAAUACAUUAGCAUGGAAUAAUGAAAUAGGACGAUCGAUCCUAUUUUGAUGGUUUCUAGGAUUGACGUA
rnacentral:rRNA from 1 species